rnacentral:rRNA from 1 species
AUGAACGCUAGCUACAGGCUUAACACAUGCAAGUCGAGGGGCAGCAUGAAAGGAACUUCGGUUCUUUUUGAUGGCGACCGGCGCACGGGUGCGUAACGCGUAUCGAACCUGCCUCAUACUCGGGGAUAGCCUUGCGAAAGUAAGAUUAAUACCCGGCGGUCUCGGACGGCCGCAUGACAGUCCGAGUGAAGAUUUAUCGGUAUGAGAUGGCGAUGCGUCCCAUUAGCUUGUUGGUGGGGUAAUGGCUCACCAAGGCAUCGAUGGGUAGGGGUUCUGGAGAGGAAGGUCCCCCACAUUGGAACUGAGACACGGUCCAA